GAUGAACGCUGGCGGCGUGCCUAAUACAUGCAAGUCGAGCGAACAGACGAGGAGCUUGCUCCUCUGACGUUAGCGGCGGACGGGUGAGUAACACGUGGAUAACCCACCUAUAAGACUGGGAUAACUUCGGGAAACCGGAGCUAAUACCGGAUAAUAUAUUGAACCGCAUGGUUCAAUAGUGAAAGACGGUUUUGCUGUCACUUAUAGAUGGAUCCGCGCCGCAUUAGCUAGUUGGUAAGGUAACGGCUUACCAAGGCAACGAUGCGUAGCCGACCUGAGAGGGUGAUCGGCCACACCGGAACUGAGACACGGUCCAGACUCCUACGGGAGGCAGCAGUAGGGAAUCUUCCGCAAUGGGCGAAAGCCUGACGGAGCAACGCCGCGUGAGUGAUGAAGGUCUUCGGAUCGUAAAACUCUGUUAUUAGGGAAGAACAAAUGUGUAAGUAACUAUGCACGUCUUGACGGUACCUAAUCAGAAAGCCACGGCUAACUACGUG
rnacentral:rRNA from 1 species